rnacentral:RNase_MRP_RNA from 1 species
GUUCGUGCUGAAGGCCUGUUUCCUAGGCUACAAACGAGGGACUAGUUCCUUACCUUUCCGCCUAGGGGAAAGUCCCCGGACCACCGGCAGAGAGUGCCACGUGCUCCCGCACGUAGACCUUCCCGGCCUGUCACUGGUUAACCCGCCAAGAAGCAAGCCCGUCGUUCGCGAUGGGGGAGCUGAGCGGCGUGUGGCGUGGGCGUCAUCCGUCAUCUCUCCUAGUAACGCAGGCAGUGCGUGUUUUCGCGCACCAACCACACGGGGCUCAUUCUCAGCUCGGC